GACGAACGCUGGCGGCGUGCUUAACACAUGCAAGUCGAACGAAGUGGCGAACGGGUGAGUAACGCGUAAUCAACCUGCCCUUCAGAGGGGGACAACAGUUGGAAACGACUGCUAAUACCGCACACUGAAGGAGGGGAUUGCGUCUGAUUAGCUAGUUGGAGGGGUAACGGCCCACCAAGGCGAUGAUCAGUAGCGGGUCUGAGAGGAUGAACGGCCACAAUGGGACUGAGCCACGGCCCAGACUCCUACGGGAGGCAGCAGUGGGGAAUCGUCCGCAAUGGACGAAAGUCUGACGGAGCAACGCCGAGUGAGUGAUGAAGGCCUUCGGGUUGUAAAGGACUUUUGUCAAGGAAGCGGUACCUGAAGAAUAAGCACCGGCUAACUACGUGCCAGCCGCCGCGGUAAUAC
rnacentral:rRNA from 1 species